GAUGAACGCUGGCGGCGUGCCUAAUACAUGCAAGUCGAGCGAAUGGAUUAAGAGCUUGCUCUUUGGGUGGCGAGUGGCGGUCGGGUGAGUAAUGUCUGGGAAACUGCCCGAUGGAGGGGGAUAACUACUGGAAACGGUAGCUAAUACCGCAUAACGUCGCGAGACCAAAGUGGGGGACCUUCGGGCCUCACACCAUCGGAUGUGCCCAGAUGGGAUUAGCUAGUAGGUGGGGUAAUGGCUCACCUAGGCGACGAUCCCUAGCUGGUCUGAGAGGAGGACCAGCCACACUGGAACUGAGACACGGUCCAGACUCCUACGGGAGGCAGCAGUGGGGAAUAUUGCACAAUGGGCGCAAGCCUGAUGCAGCCAUGCCGCGUGUAUGAAGAAGGCCUUCGGGUUGUAAAGUACUUUCAGCGGGGAGGAAGGCGGUGAGGUUAAUAACCUUGCCGAUUGACGUUACCCGCAGAAGAAGCACCGGCUAACUCCGUGCCAGCAGCCGCCGUAA
rnacentral:rRNA from 1 species